UGGGAUUAAUGGUGUACACAUCUACCACCC
rnacentral:piRNA from 1 species